rnacentral:tRNA from 1 species
CCUCGGUAGCUCAAUGGCAGAGCGGGCGGGAUCCCAGAAACAAGUGGCAGAGAUGUGGGUUCGAAUCCCACCCGAGGCCC